rnacentral:rRNA from 1 species
UACGAAGGGGGCUAGCGUUGUUCGGAGUUACUGGGCGUAAAGGGCGCGUAGGCGGCGCACCAAGUCAGGCGUGAAAGCCCUGGGCUCAACCCGGGAAUUGCGCUUGAGACUGGUGUGCUUGAGUACGGGAGAGGAUAGUGGAAUUCCCAGUGUAGAGGUGAAAUUCGUAGAUAUCGGGAGGAACACCAGUGGCGAAGGCGGCGAUCUGGGAAGAUACUGACGCUGAGGUGCGAAAGCGUGGGGAGCAAACAGG